GCUACCAGGUAAUGCUGGGCACUCUGGUGAGACUGCCCGUUAACGGGGAGGAAGGUGGGGACGACGUCAAGUCAUCAUGGCCCUUACGCCUAGGGCUACACACGUACUACAAUGGCGCAUACAAAGGGCAGCGAUACCGCGAGGUGGAGCCAAUCCCAAAAAGUGCGUCCCAGUCCGGAUUGCAGUCUGCAACUCGACUGCAUGAAGUUGGAAUCGCUAGUAAUUCGAGAUCAGCAUGCUCGGGUGAAUGCGUUCCCGGGCCUU
rnacentral:rRNA from 1 species